rnacentral:tRNA from 1 species
GCGAGUAUAGUCUAGUGGCAUGAUGUAAGCUUCCCAAGCUUGAGGCGCGGGUUCAAUUCCCGCUACUCGCACCA